rnacentral:rRNA from 1 species
GACGAACGCUGGCGGCGUGGAUUAGGCAUGCAAGUCGAACGGUAUAAACCUUUCGGGGUUUAGAGAGUGGCGAACGGGUGAGUAACACGUAGGUAAUCUACCCUCAAAACGGGGACAACCCAGGGAAACUUGGGCUAAUACCGGAUGCGUGCAAGCAAUGUUUUGGCUGUUAAUGCUAUUCACGGAAGUGAGUAGUGUUAAUGGUUGAGAGCAUUAUUUGCAUAAAAGGUGGCAUAUGCUGCCGUUUGAGGAUGAGCCUGCGUCCUAUUAGUUAGUUGGUGAGGUAAUGGCUUACCAAGGCGAUGAUAGGUAGGCGGCCUUAACGGGUGGUCGCCCACACUGGGAUUGAGAGACGGCCCAGACUCCUACGGGAGGCAGCAGUCGAGAAUAGUCUACAAUGGACGGAAGUCUGAUAGUGCGACGCCGCGUGAACGAAGAAUCCCUUCGGGGUGUAAAGUUCUUUUAUACGUGAGCAGUGCCCUUUAUAUGAAUAGUAUAGAGGGAGGGAUUUAAGCGUAUGAAUAAGCAACGGCUAACUCCGUGCCAGCAGCCGCGGUAACACGGGGGUUGCAAGCGUUGUCCGGAAUUACUAGGCGUAAAGUGCAGGUAGGCGGAUAGAUAAGUUUAAGGUUAAAGGCUACGGCUUACCCGUAGUAAGGCGUUAGAUACUGUUUAUCUGGAAUGCGGUUGAGGGAGACAGAAUUCCUGGUGUAGCGGUGGAAUGCGCAGAGAUCAGGAGGAAUACCGAAGGCGAAAGCAGUCUUCUAAGCCGAUAUUGACGCUAAACUGCGAAGGUGUGGGGAUCAAACA